GUACACGCUGUGACUAGCAUAUCAAUAAGCGGAGGAAAAGAAACUAACAAGGAUUCCCCUAGUAACGGCGAGUGAAGCGGGAAGAGCUCAAAUUUGAAAUCUUAAAGGGUUUCCCUUUACGAAUUGCAGUUUAAAGAAGUGUUUUCUGUUGAGGUUUUGGUAAAAGUUCUUUGGAAUAGGACAUCAUAGAGGGUGAGAAUCCCGUAUUUGACCUUUACUUUCAACUUUGUGAUACACUUUCAAAGAGUCGGAUUGUUUGGGAAUGCAGUCCAAAAUGGGUGGUAAAUUUCAUCUAAAGCUAAAUAUUGGCGAGAGACCGAUAGCGAACAAGUACCGUGAGGGAAAGAUGAAAAGAACUUUGAAAAGAGAGUCAAACAGUACGUGAAAUUGUCAAAAGGGAAGCGUUUGACACCAGUGUUGUUUUUCUGAAAAUCAAUUAAAGAACUGUUUAUGCUAAGCUGUUUAGGACUUUAUCAGCUAAUCUGUUUAGUUUUGAGCUUUUCUUUAAUGCACUUUUCAGUUAACAAGUCAACAUCAAUUUCUUUUGCUGUAAAAAAGCUUGAGGAAGGUGGCUUGAGAUUCGUCUUAAGUGUUUAUAGCCUCUUGCCUAUGCAGUCGGAGAGAUUGAGGUCUGCAGCGUAGAUCCUUCGGGGCUAAAUGCAUUUGUGCUAAGUUAUAGCAUUUUAUAGACAACUUGUUGACUAUGAUUUGUCUUGUAGCUUACUCGCUUAUGUUAUUUUACCUACGCUUAGGAUGUUGAAGAUGUAGCACAUCAU
rnacentral:rRNA from 1 species